AACGAACGCUGGCGGCAUGCCUAACACAUGCAAGUCGAACGAGACCUUCGGGUCUAGUGGCGCACGGGUGCGUAACGCGUGGGAACCUGCCCUUAGGUUCGGAAUAACUCCCCGAAAGGGGUGCUAAUACCGGAUAAUGUCUUCGGACCAAAGAUUUAUCGCCUUUGGAUGGGCCCGCGUUGGAUUAGCUAGUUGGUAGGGUAAAAGCCUACCAAGGCGACGAUCCAUAGCUGGUCUGAGAGGAUGAUCAGCCACACUGGGACUGAGACACGGCCCAGACUCCUACGGGAGGCAGCAGUGGGGAAUAUGGGACAAUGGGCGAAAGCCUGAUCCAGCAAGGCCGCGUGAGUGAUGAAGGCCUUAGGGUUGUAAAGCUCUUUUACCCGGGAUGAUAAGGACAGUACCGGGAGAAUAAGCUCCGGCUAACUCCGU
rnacentral:rRNA from 1 species